GUGUGUUUGAAGUAAGAAAAUCCUCUAUAAUCUCUUAAAGUUGUUAAUAUUUUUUUCUUUUUUUAGUAGGAGGGAGGGGAAAAAUCCCCCACAUUUAUUAAAGAAAAACUAAAAGACCCUUCCAAGUUUUUUUUUUGUAAACUCUUUUCCUGCUUAUUUUGUUAAGUCAGAGAAUGUCAUUUUCAUAUAAGUUUGGUUGACAAAAACUAACUAAAAAAAUACUCC
rnacentral:lncRNA from 1 species